rnacentral:misc_RNA from 1 species
GAACGCACCUUGCGCCCUUUGGCUAUUCCGAAGGGCAUGCCUGUUUGAGUAUCAUGAACACCUCAACUCUCAUGGCCUGCCAUGAUGAGCUUGGACUUUGGGGGUCUUGCCGGCGUACCGUCGGCUCCUCUCAAACUGAUCAGCUUGCCAGUGUUUGGUGGCAUCACAGGUGUGAUAAUUAUCUACGCUUGUGGUUUUCCACCAAGCAACCUCCAGCGAUGGAGGUUCGCUGGAGCUCACAAACGUCUCUCCCAAGCGAGGACAGCUUUUUGAACGUUUGAUCUCAAAUCAGGUAGGACUACCCGCUGAACUUAAG